rnacentral:rRNA from 1 species
GACGAACGCUGGCGGCGUGCCUAAUACAUGCAAGUCGAACGCACUCUCGUUUAGAUUGAAGGAGCUUGCUCCUGAUUGAUAAACAUUUGAGUGAGUGGCGGACGGGUGAGUAACACGUGGGUAACCUGCCCUAAAGUGGGGGAUAACAUUUGGAAACAGAUGCUAAUACCGCAUAAAACCUAAACACCGCAUGGUGUAGGGUUGAAAGAUGGUUUCGGCUAUCACUUUAGGAUGGACCCGCGGUGCAUUAGUUAGUUGGUGAGGUAAAGGCUCACCAAGACCGUGAUGCAUAGCCGACCUGAGAGGGUAAUCGGCCACACUGGGACUGAGACACGGCCCAGACUCCUACGGGAGGCAGCAGUAGGGAAUCUUCCACAAUGGACGAAAGUCUGAUGGAGCAACGCCGCGUGAGUGAAGAAGGUUUCGGAUCGUAAACUCUGUUGUUGGAGAAGAAUGUAUCUGAUAGUAACUGAUCAGGUAGUGACGUAGUCCAACCAGAAAGCC